AACUUUCGACAAUGGAUCACUAGGCUCUUGCAGCGAUGAAGAACGCAGCAAAAUGCGAAACGUGAUGCGAUUUGCACGAAUCUGUGAGUCAUCUAAUCUUUGAACGCGAAUGGCACUGUUAUGUAAGUAACAGUAUGUCUGUUUGAGAAUCGCAAAACAAGAUCAACUCUAGUUGAGAGUUGGGAUUGGCCUUAUAUAUGCGGUAGUGUAUAUUUGGCUUGAAUUUAUCGAGUUGAUGAGCUUCCCAGCGCGGCUCAAUGUGUGCUAGCGAGACAGUCGUCCCGAUCUCACAUUAUUGUCGCGUUGCAGAGUUCUGUCCACAGCUCGCUAAACCUAUCAAUCAAAUACGAUCUCAAAUCAGGCAAGAUUACCCGCUGAACUUAAGCAUAUCAAUAAGCGGAGGCU
rnacentral:misc_RNA from 1 species